AUAACAUAAAAGCAUCUAUUAUCAUCACAUUUCCUGUGCUUUAAGCUGAUUUGAGCCUUUUGCUCAUAACCAGGUUCAAAACCAAGGCUUGAAAAUAUGCAUUUUUUUUAAUAUUUGAAAAAAUACAUUCAUUGUAACAGGUUAUAUUUACUUAAAAGUAAACCGGUGCAUAAUGUAUGAGUUUCUUGGUAGCAAUUAGACUAUACCAGAAAGAUUUCAACACAGUUACAGUUGCUCAGUUACACACAUUGGGUAAAUAAUUCAUUUGAUUCCUUUUUGCUAUGUUGAUAAAGUAUGACCGUUUUUGUGGUCAGGUAGCUGAAGUGAUCUUCUUAAAUAACCAGUGAACGUUAUGCCUAUUAUUCACACUUCAAAAAUUAUACCGUAGUGAAACGUUGAAUAUAGGUGAAUUUCUCUAAUAUGAAUCAUUAUGAGAUUUAAAAAAGACAAACAAACAUAAGAUUUUUAAGCCUAAUUCUAGACAUUUUUAUCAACUAUAAAUUUCAAGCUUGAAACAAAGCUUGACAUGCUGACAGCGCUGCCAUUUCUCCGUCUAAAUCUGUUUCCAGGGGCAUAGUGAUAGGGUCAGAAAAACAGCUCUCCCGGUUUAGGCGAUGCCUACUUUGGUUUAAGUCCAAAUACAGAUAUAGAUAUUGCGUUACAUCCUAAUACAUACAUACAUACAUACAUACAUACAUACAUGCAUGCAUGCAUACAUACAUACAUACAUACAUGGUGCUAGAAAGUUUGUGAACUAUUAAGAAUAUAAAUAUGACCUAAAACACCAUUAAAUUUUCACACAAGUAGAUAAAGUGAACCGAUUUAAACAAAUGAGAUGAAAAUAUUAUACUUGGUCAUUUAUUUAUUGAGGAAAAUGAUCCAAUAUUACAUAUCUCAGAGUGGCAAAAGUAUGUGAAAUUCCUCAGUAUGUGACAUUCCUUCAACUCUGGGAUGAACUGCUUGCUUCAUUACCUUCCACAACAUUUGUAUUGGAUUAAGGUCAGGACUUUGACUUGGCCAUUCCGAAACAUUAACUUUAUUAUUCUUUAACCAUCCUUUAGUAGAUGACUUGUGGGUUUAGGGUCCUUGUCUUGCUGCAUGACCUACUUCAGAUGUCCUGAUAUUUUCCUUUAGAAUUUCUGGUAUAAUUCAAAAUUCAUUGUUCCAUCAAUGAUAGCAAGCCAUCCUGGCCCAGAUGCAGCAAAACAGGCCCAAACCAUGAUACUAGCACCACCAUGUUUCACAGAAGGGAUACGGUUCUCAUGCUGGAGUGCAGUGUUUUCCUUUCUCCAAACAUGACGCUUGUUUUCAUCCACAAAACAGUUUUCCAUCAAGCCUUCUGGCUUGUCCAGGUGAUCUUUAGCAAACUGCAGAUGGGCAGCAAUGUUGGAGUUUGAGAGCAGUGGCUUUCUCCUUCUCCUGAUGUGUCCACAAACUUUUGGCCAUUUAGUAUCCAUACAUAAUUUAAAUACUUACAAUUCUUUUGUGUUUACUUAUUUUAUUGGUCCUAUAAUAAAAUAAAAUAUGGUUUUAUCAACCAAUGAACGAAUAAAACUAGUCAGUGUAAAAGAUAUAAUGCACAAAUCAUUUCAACUCUAAUACUGUAAAUAUAAUGUAGGGCAUAGUGCAUGAUGAAUUGUAUUCUGAAUGACUGUGGAGCUCAGCGACUUGCAAAUCGGG
ensembl:lncRNA